rfam:Sphingomonas sp. LH128 Contig475, whole genome shotgun sequence.
UUUGCGGGCCGGGCCCCUCUGGCGCGGCGUGAUCGGGAACUUCCCUCACGCCUCGUGAUGUCGGACCGCAUCG